rnacentral:rRNA from 1 species
GUAGUACUAGGAUGGGUGACCUCCUGGGAAGUCCUCCUAUUGCACCCCU